rnacentral:rRNA from 1 species
AACCUUCUCCCUGGAAGUAAAAGGCGCUCCGGCGUCAGAAUAAUUAUUCCAGGCUACCCCCGAUUAACACACACUUAUCACCUACAUUUUUGCUAGUUGACUUUUUAUAACUGUGCUCUGGCUCUUUGCAGUCUUUGCGCACGUUUAAACAUCAUAUUUAAACGUUAAAAAAUACAACUCUUAGCAAUGGAUAUCUUGGUUCUCGCAACGAUGAAGAACGCAGCGAAAUGCGAUACGUAAUGCGAAUUGCAGAAUUCAGUGAAUCAUCAAAUCUUUGAACGCAAAUUGCGCUCUUGGGUAGCCCUAGGAGCACGCCUCUCUCAGUAUCGGUUCAACCUUCUCUCAGCAGCGUUUUGAGUCAUAUUAAUUUAUGCUCUCGGCGUGUUGGCUGGAUAAUGAGAGUCUGAGUUAUUCUUUUUAUAGCUUAGUCUCUUGAAGCACAUGGAGUGAACAUAUGACUACCGAUCAGCUCUGGCCUUUCGAGGCUGGAUAGUCUGCUCUCAGAUGGUGCUGCUGUGGAUAGUAACGUGAAUACUAGAUCCUUCGCGGUCUUUUUAUCAUUCUACGUUUCAUCUAUUCUGCAGAUUCAUGGCAUCGAGACGCAGGUGAACGAUCGUGUGUGUGGAAUGUCCUUUCACGUGGGAACACCAUAUGAUUUCUAUCUUUAAUUAAUUAAUUAAUUAUGGAGUCUGAAUAUUGAUCUGAGAUGAAGCGAGACAACCCCCUGAAUUUAAGCAUAUCAAUAAGCGG